AGGAGCGAGGAAACGUGCCGAGGGGCCGGCACGCCGCAAGCCGGCCCUGGGAGCUGGCGCCCGGGCUUAAAUUCCCCUGUUUCCCGAACGCACGUCCCCUAAAUCAGUUAUUCCUAAGAGUGUGUGUGUUUUUCCUUUAGGAGCGUGACAUCAAGCUCUGUGUUUGUUUGGCUGAAUACAUCAGAAGCGGCUAAGAGAUAAAGAGCAGCUCAUGUUUUCCCCCCCUCGCUGCCAAAGGAUACGUUUGCAUGGCGCUUCCAGGAUACAAUUUGCAAAAGAGCCGAGGAUUUGGUACCUAAAUUAAAGUCCACGAAAACUCUGAAUAUUCAUCAUCUCAGAAGAAUCGAAACACAAUUCUCCCAAGCUCUACACUGGCUAGUGUGAUGGAGUAGGAGCACAUCUGAAGAAAAGAACUGUUGGCGCUGAAGACCUGAUAUCCACAAUAGAUUAUUUUCAGGGGUUUUUACUUUGGACUUUUGAUCCUGUGGGCUGAAAACAGAAAACCAUUAGCAGCGUGAGUUCAUCAGGUGGACUACCUGCUGAUUUAAUGGUCGGAUUAUUGCAUAAAUUUUGGCAAUUUUGUAACAGGUGUGCACUGUAAGGCCACUGGCAAACUAAGAACUUAAAACAUUCCACUUUUAAAAUUUAAGGUCAAUAGAUAUGAUGCUUUUUGAAUAUAAAUCAAAUUCAGAUGUUUUGCAGUAACCAUAAUUCUGUAAACCCGACAGACAGAUACACUUUGUAUGAGAUACGGAAAUGUGCAGUGAUGAGAGUCUUUUGUUCAACAUGUAGACUACAGAGUUAGCACUCUUACCAUGCUCUUAAUAUUACCAUGCUCUAAUAUCUCUUUAUUCAAGGAAUAUUUAAGGUUGCUUCUGCAGAGCUUAGGACCUGGACCUAUUUAAGAAUAAGCAGUCUAAGUAACAUUUUUCCAUAAGAAAGAAAAAAAGAUAUUUAAGAAUUUGAAGUCAGUAGUUUUACACAUGCACCUUAGAAAUACAUCUCUGGCUAUGUUUUUGUCCCCCUCUGCUUUCAAUGACAUCGAUGGGGAAAUAAAUGUAUUUCAGUGGGUAUUUCACCAACCCCUAUGCUCCAUUUGCCAACCUUUUGUUAUUGGUGAUGCAGUGUAACAUACAGCAUCAUUUGCUUUGAUUCCAGGGUAAGUUUAAGGUGGUGUUAUUGGUUUACUGUCUUAAGUCAAGAAACAAAAGUUUAAAGAACCUGAAG